GACGAACGCUGGCGGCGUGCCUAAUACAUGCAAGUCGAACGAGUGGCGGACGGGUGAGUAAUGUCUGGGAAACUGCCCGAUGGAGGGGGAUAACUACUGGAAACGGUAGCUAAUAACGCAUACCAUCGGAUGUGCCCAGAUGGGAUUAGCUAGUAGGUGGGGUAACGGCUCACCUGGGCGACGAUCCCUAGCUGGUCUGAGGGGAGUACCAGCCAAACUGGACCUGCGACACGGUCCAGACUCCGACGGGAGGCAGCAGUGGGGAAGAUUGCACAAUGGGCGCAAGCCUGAUGCAGCCAUGCCGGGUGUAUGUAGAAGGCCUUCGGGUUGUAAAGUACUUUCAUCGAGGAGGCGUUACUCGCAGAAGAAGCACCGGCUAACUCCGUGCCAGCAGCCGCGGUAAUUC
rnacentral:rRNA from 1 species